rnacentral:rRNA from 1 species
GUACACGUCCUUGAACGACGGAACUGCGAACGGCUCAAUUAAAUCAGUUGCGAUCUACUCGGCGUUCCGCGCCGCCGGAUAACCGUAGUAAUUCUAGGGCUAAUACGUGCGAAGCGCCGAAGCCGCGAGGCGACGGGCGUUCUCGCCGGAUGUAGGAACCGACCCGGGGACCGCCGGGGGCAACCCGGCGCCCCCCGAGACGGGGCGAACCACGGUGAAAUGACGGAUCGUCGGCCCCGCGCCGGCGACUCGCCGAAUGAGUUUCUGACCUAUCAACUCGAGACGGCGGGGUAGAGGCCCGCCGCGGUAACGACGGGUAACGGGGAAUCAGGGUUCGAUUCCGGAGAGGGAGCCCGAGAAACGGCUACCACUUCCAAGGAAGGCAGCAGGCGCGCAACUUACCCUAAUCUCGAUUCGAGGAGGUAGUGACAAGAAAUACCGAU